rnacentral:misc_RNA from 1 species
UUGAUUUUUAUAUUAUAUCAAGUGUAUUGAUGAGUCCCAAGAACCAAGGAUGAGUCUGGAAUAAGUCUGAAGGCCGAAAGUCAAGUUUUGGAAGCAAAAGGAAUUGCACAAGGUGUAUAAUCAUAUUGCACGGCCUGUACAACAUGGCACUGUAGAAUACAAAGUGCAUGGCCCGUGCAAAGUGACCCUACAAUCCCUUGUGCCUCGUGCAACCUUCUGUACAAAGGAAAUCCAAGAAAUAAGGACAAUA